CAGAGACAAGGACCAGAGACGGUUAGGGCCUCCCGCCUGGUGAGAGCCCAGUCUCACCAACACCCCAUCCCCAUCCGCCAACGUCCACACUCCGCUCCUAAGGGGGACCUGCCUCUACGCCACACAAGUCAGACCGGAGACACCUCCCCUUUCCUGUGUGACGAGGGUAUAUUUGGCCUCCAGCGGCGGGCAGCGGAGAGCUGGUGCCAAAACCCGGGAAGGAGAUAAGGUGUGGAGCUCCAGCCAGCCACCGGCAGCUCCCACCCCUCCUUCCCUGAUCUGGGACCUCUGCCUAUUCUCAGCACCUCGGAUGACUAUUUGGGAACACGCAGACCAGUUCUUGCCUCAACCCACCUCCCCCUUGGAUCCAAGAAUCAUGGAGGCUCUACAGCCAGGAGACGAAGUCCUUCUUAAAGAACUCCAACCUCAGUCACUCCACCCAUGGUGGAUGGGACCAUAUAUGGUGAUCCUUACCACUCCCACGGCUGCCAAGCUAUUGGGACACUCCCUGUGGUACCACAUCUCCAAGCUCAAAUGAGCACCCAGUCAUGAUAGGCAGAGCUCUAGAGACACAGGGCCCCUCCAUUUGCACCUUACUCGCACUAGUGCUGGCCACAAUGACCCAUCUGGCUCUAGCAAACUGGGUCUGUGACAUGUCCAUCACAUCGGGUAUGCUCCAACUACACCAAUUGGUCCCUAAGACAUGUUACUUUCAAAAGAUAUCUUAUCAGCAGAGAGACCACUUGUACUGGGCCACUAUGAUGUUGAGAUUUCCAAACUGGCUACCCAGGAGGAAUUGGCAAGAUCAUUUGCUGGGUACGAGACCCUCCACCAAAUCCCCAAGGAAAGAUACCCCCUUGUCCCACCCAAUGCUCAUCUUUCCAUUCCUUCAUCCAGGCUGCCUGCUAUGAAUGAGCCUCAGUCUGUCUCUCAUUGUCCGGACAACAGUACUGGAUGGGGCGAAGCCUGGGUAAUCAUGCUGGAUAUGUCUGUCCUGGGAGACAAGGACAACAUAUCUGCUGGAACCUCCGGCCACUGAUAGUGAGGUCAGACAGUAAAAGUGCACAAGACUAUGCUGGUACAUCAGUACUCGCCCUUCCCUCCAAGCCUCCUCUGGCCUCCCACCAGCCUUAACCCUGCCUGUGCUGCCCCUCCUCAGCCGGAAGUAGCCAGAUUGAGUGGGCACCCAUUAUAACCAAAAGGCUGGAAUGUAAGGCUGGAGGCACUGGAGGAGUGAGCAUGUCAGAUGAGCUCAGCCCUAACCAAGUAAAGGGGGGCAGCAAAGCCCCCAACCCCGGCCUAGUAAAGGGAAGAAACCAACAGAUUCCAGGCCUGAUGAUGUGCCAAAAUCCCCGGCUGCUGCCCCCUCCCAACCUGAAAAGGUGCCUUAGGCUAGCCAAUCCUCACGCUGCUGUAGACCUAUGCUCUCCCUCCCCGUAACUUUUUAAAAAACUCACUGCCUGCUCUGCUUGGUGCGACUUCUCUGGCCUGUGACUAACCAGACUGGCAAACAUCGCCCGGGAUUGUGCCCUAUUAAACUUUUUGCUCCUUUGUAGCCUCCUCGCCUGUUUAUUUUGGCUCAAUUUUACCUUACAAUAACUGGUAGAGGACUUGGGAAGGGGUGAAGGUCAGUCUUCAGUAACUGCUUCCUGCUGAUUAGGGGCAAUGAAGUUCAUUUUUGUAUUGAUGGGGGGCGGUCCUCAGAUGAGCCCUUGGUCUGAAGUGGUGAUGCCUGCCUGUUCCAGGUUUAAAAAGGAUCGCUGUCUUUGGAGAGGGGUUGGUAAUCCUGUAAUACAAGCUGGUUAAAGGUUUGUGUAGAAAUUUUCUGCAUUUGGGCUGAUUGCUAUGUUU